GAUGAACGCUGGCGGCGUGCCUAAUACAUGCAAGUCGAGCGAACAGACGAGGAGCUUGCUCCUCUGACGUUAGCGGCGGACGGGUGAGUAACACGUGGAUAACCUACCUAUAAGACUGGGAUAACUUCGGGAAACCGGAGCUAAUACCGGAUAAUAUAUUGAACCGCAUGGUUCAAUAGUGAAAGACGGUUUUGCUGUCACUUAUAGAUGGAUCCGCGCCGCAUUAGCUAGUUGGUAAGGUAACGGCUUACCAAGACAACGAUGCGUAGCCGACCUGAGAGGGUGAUCGGCCACACUGGAACUGAGACACGGUCCAGACUCCUACGGGAGGCAGCAGUAGGGAAUCUGCCGCAAUGGGCGAAAGCUUGACGGAGCAACGGCGCGUGAGUGAUGAAGGUCUUCGGAUCGUAAAACUCGGUUAUUAGGGAAGAACAAAUGUGUAAGUAACUAUGCACGUCUUGACGGUACCUAAUCAGAAAGCCACGGCUAACUACGUG
rnacentral:rRNA from 1 species